GGGGAAUAUUGGACAAUGGGCGAAAGCCUGAUCCAGCCAUGCCGCGUGAGUGAUGAAGGCCUUAGGGUUGUAAAGCUCUUUCAGUGGGGAAGAUAAUGACGGUACCCACAGAAGAAGCCCCGGCUAACUUCGUGCCAGCAGCCGCGGUAAUACGAAGGGGGCUAGCGUUGUUCGGAUUUACUGGGCGUAAAGCGCACGUAGGCGGAUCGUUAAGUCGGGGGUGAAAUCCUGGAGCUCAACUCCAGAACUGCCUUCGAUACUGGCGAUCUUGAGUCCGGAAGAGGUGAGUGGAACUCCUAGUGUAGAGGUGGAAUUCGUAGAUAUUAGGAGGAACACCAGUGGCGAAGGCGGCUCACUGGCUCGAUACUGACGCUGAGGUGCGAAAGCGUGGGGAGCAAAC
rnacentral:rRNA from 1 species